GAUGAACGCUAGCGGCAGGCCUAAUACAUGCAAGUCGAACGGUAAAUAUUGCAGCAAUACGGUAUGAGAGUGACGUACGGGUGCGUAACACGUAUGCAACCUACCCAAAACUGGAGUAUAGCUCGGGGAAACCCGAAUUAACCCUUCAUAGUAUCACUGGAUGGCAUCAUUUGGUGAUUAAAACUCAGGUGGUUUUGGAUGGGCAUGCGUCUGAUUAGCUAGUUGGCGGGGUAAAGGCCCACCAAGGCGAUGAUCAGUAGGGGAACUGAGAGGUUGAUCCCCCACACUGGCACUGAGAUACGGGCCAGACUCCUACGGGAGGCAGCAGUAGGGAAUAUUGGUCAAUGGAUGCAAGUCUGAACCAGCCAUGCCGCGUGCAGGAAGAAGGCCUUCUGGGUUGUAAACUGCUUUUGCCAGAGGAUAAAAUGGGCGUGCGCGCCUAAUUGAGGGUACCUGGUGAAUAAGCCACGGCUAACUACGUGCCAGCAGCCGCAGUAA
rnacentral:rRNA from 1 species